GUUUGAUCAUGGCUCAGAUUGAACGCUGGCGGGAUGCUUUACACAUGCAAGUCGAACGGCAGCACGGACUUCGGUCUGGUGGCGAGUGGCGAACGGGUGAGUAAUGUAUCGGAACGUACUAAUAGCGGGGAUAACUACGCGAAAGCGUAGCUAAUACCACAUACGCCCUUCGGGGGAAAGCGGGGACCUUCGGGCCUCGCACUAUUAGAGCAGCCGAUAUCGGAUUAGCAGCUAGUUGGUGGGGUAACGGCUCACCAAGGCGACGAUCCGUAGCUGGUUUGAGAGGACGACCAGCCACACUGGGACUGAGGGAACACGGCCCAGACUCCUACGAGGGAGGCAGCAGUGGGGGUACGGACAAUGGGGGAAACCCUGAUCCAGCCAUCCCGCGUGUGCGAUGAAGGCCUUCCGGGUUGUAAAGCACUUUUGGCAGGAAAGAAACGGCACGGGAUAAUACCCCGUGCAACUGACGGUACCUGCAGAAUAAGCACCGGCUAACUACGUGCCAGCAGCCGCGGUAAUACGUAGGGUGCAAGCGUUAAUCGGAAUUACUGGGCGUAAAGCGUGCGCAGGCGGUUCGGAAGAAAAGAUGCGAAAUCCCAGAGCUUUAACACGGAACUGCAUUUUUAACUACCGAGCUAGAGUGUGUCAGAGGGGAGGUGGAAUUCCGCGUGUAGCAGUGAAAUGCGUAGAUAUGCGAGAGGAACACCGAUGGCGAAGGCAGCCUCCUGGGAUAACACUGACGCUCAUGCGAAAGCAUUAAGGGCAAACAGGAUUAGAUACCCUGGUAGUCCACGCCCUAAACGAUGUCAACUAGCUGUUGGGGCCUUCGGGCCUUGGUAGCGCAACUAACGCGUGAAGUUGACCGCCUGGGGAAAUACGGUCGCAAGAUUAAAACUCAAAGGAAUUGACGGGGACCCGCACAAGCGGUGGAUGAUGUGGAUUAAUUCGAUGCAACGCGAAAAACCUUACCUACCUUGACAUGUCUGGAAUCCCGAAAGAGAGAUUUGGGAGUGCUCGCAAAGAACGGAACACAGGUGCUGCAUGGCUGUCGAUAGCUCGUGUCGUGAGAUGUUGAGUUAAGUCCGCAACGAGCGCAGCGCAUCAUUAGUUGCUUCACGAAGGCACUCUAAUGAGACUGCCGGUGACAAACCGGAGGAAGGUGGGGAUGACGUCAAGUCCUCAUGGCCGCUAUGGGUAGGGCUUCACACGUCAUACAAUGGUCGGGACAGAGGUCGCCAACCCCGCGAAGGGGGUAAUCCCAGAGAGCCCGAUCGUAGUCCGGAUCGCAGUCUGCAACUCGACUGCGUGAAGUCAGAAUCGCUAGUAAUCGCGGAUCAGCAUGUCGCGGUGAAUGCGUUCCGGGUCUUUUUCCGCCGUCACACCAUGGGAGUGGGUUUUUACCAGAAGUAGUUAGCCUAACCGUAAGGAGGGCGAUUACCACGGUAGGAUUCAUGACUGGGGUGAAGUCGUAACAAGGUAA
rnacentral:rRNA from 1 species